rnacentral:rRNA from 1 species
UACAGAGGUCCCAAGCGUUGUUCGGAUUCAUUGGGCGUAAAGGGUGCGUAGGUGGCGCCGUAAGUCAGGUGUGAAAUCUCGGGGCUCAACCCCGAAACUGCACUUGAUACUGCGGUGCUUGGAGUACUGGAGAGGAGAUUGGAAUUUACGGUGUAGCAGUGAAAUGCGUAGAUAUCGUAAGGAAGACCAGUGGCGAAGGCG